rnacentral:ncRNA from 1 species
GAGAACUGGUUUACUGAAAGAGGGAAUGAAAGCCGUCAUGUUGAGCUUAAACCUCUUCUCUAAUCCUCCUGCAUGCGCUGACAAGUGGUAGCUUCGAAGUGUAUGAAGCCAGGUGAAGUCGGCUGAAUUUAUCUAUAUAUCGGAUAAAGAUAGGCCGGGAGGCUGAAAA